rnacentral:rRNA from 1 species
AGAGCGAACGCUGGCGGCAGGCUUAACACAUGCAAGUCGAGCGGGCGUAGCAAUACGUCAGCGGCAGACGGGUGAGUAACGCGUGGGAACGUACCUUUUGGUUCGGAACAACACAGGGAAACUUGUGCUAAUACCGGAUAAGCCCUUACGGGGAAAGAUUUAUCGCCAAAAGAUCGGCCCGCGUCUGAUUAGCUAGUUGGUGAGGUAACGGCUCACCAAGGCGACGAUCAGUAGCUGGUCUGAGAGGAUGAUCAGCCACAUUGGGACUGAGACACGGCCCAAACUCCUACGGGAGGCAGCAGUGGGAAUAUUGGACAAUGGGCGCAAGCCUGAUCCAGCCAUGCCGCGUGAGUGAUGAAGGCCCUAGGGUUGUAAAGCUCUUUGUGCGGGAAGAUAAUGACGGUACCGCAAGAAUAAGCCCGGCUAACUUCGCGCCAGCAGCCGC